AACGAACGCUGGCGGCACGCCUAACACAUGCAAGUCGAACGCGUGGAGCGAUCCACGAGUGGCGCACGGGUGAGUAACGCGUGGGAACCUGCCCUGGAGUGUGGGAUAACCCGGCGAAAGCCGGGCUAAUACCGCAUACGACCUGAGGGUGAAAGAGUUAUCGCUCUAGGAGGGGCCCGCGUCGGAUUAGCUAGUUGGUGAGGUAAUGGCUCACCAAGGCGAUGAUCCGUAGCUGGUCUGAGAGGAUGAUCAGCCACACUGGGACUGAGACACGGCCCAGAUUCCUACGGGAGGCAGCAGUGGGGAAUAUUGGACAAUGGGGGCAACCCUGAUCCAGCAAUGCCGCGUGGGCGAUGAAGGCCUUCGGGUUGUAAAGCCCUUUUGCACGCGACGAUGAAGACGGUAGCGUGAGAAGAAGCCCCGGCUAACUUCGUGCCAGCCGCCGCCGUAA
rnacentral:rRNA from 1 species